rnacentral:rRNA from 1 species
CCUACGGGAGGCAGCAGUGGGGGAUAUUGCACAAUGGGGGAAACCCUGAUGCAGCGACGCCGCGUGCGUGAAGAAGUAUUUCGGUAUGUAAAGCUCUAUCAGCAGGGAAGAAAAUGACAGUACCUGACCAAGAAGCUCCGGCUAACUACGUGCCAGCAGCCGCGGUAAUACGUAGGGGGCAAGCGUUAUCCGGAGUUACUGGGUGUAAAGGGAGCGUAGACGGGGAUGUAAGGCUGGAGUGAAAGCCCGGGGCUGAACCCCGGGACUGCUUUGGAAACUGUGUAACUUGAGUACAGGAGGGGCAGGCGGAAUUCAUGGUGUAGCGGUGAAAUGCGUAGAUAUCAGGAGGAACACCGGCGGCGAAGGCGGCCUGCUGGACUGAAACUGACGUUGAGGCUCGAAAGCGUGGGGAGCAAACAGGAUUAGAUACCCUUGUAGUC